GAUGAACGCUGGCGGUAUGCUUAACACAUGCAAGUCGAACGGUCUUUUCGAAGAUAGUGGCGGACGGGUGAGUAACGCGUGAGAAUCUAGCUCUAGGUUUGGGACAACCACUGGAAACGGUGGCUAAUACCGGAUAUGCCGAAAGGUGAAAGGUUAACUGCCUGGAGAUGAGCUCGCGUCUGAUUAGCUAGUUGGUAGGGUAAAAGCUUACCAAGGCGACGAUCAGUAGCUGGUCUGAGAGGACGAUCAGCCACACUGGGACUGAGACAC
rnacentral:rRNA from 7 species